rnacentral:rRNA from 1 species
AUUGAACGCUGGCGGCAUGCCUUACACAUGCAAGUCGAACGGUAACAGGUCUUCGGAUGCUGACGAGUGGCGCACGGGUGAGUAAUACAUCGGAACGUGCCCGAUCGUGGGGGAUAACGAGGCGAAAGCUUUGCUAAUACCGCAUACGAUCUACGGAUGAAAGCGGGGGAUCUUCGGACCUCGCGCGGACGGAGCGGCCGAUGGCAGAUUAGGUAGUUGGUGGGAUAAAAGCUUACCAAGCCGACGAUCUGUAGCUGGUCUGAGAGGAUGAUCAGCCACAGUGGACUGGAGCCCCGCCCCAAACCCCUAGGGGAGGCAGCAGGGGGAAUUUUGGGAAAAGGGGCAAAGGCCUCACCCAGCCAUGCCGCGUGAAGUAUAAAGGCCUUCGGGUUGUAAACUUUUUUUGUAGGGAAAAAAAACCUUCUUUCUAAUAAAGGGGGGUCAUGACGGAACCGAAAGAAAAAGCACCGGCUACCUGCGU